GGGGGGGGGGGGGGGGGGGUGUGGCGGGCUGCUCAUAUAAACCCUCACAUGCAGGCGAAAAAUUUUGCAUGCUAAUAAUCUCAAACCAAAAUAAGCGAUAACAUUCAUUUCCAAGAAGUAUUUGAUCACACUGACCUUAAUAAGCUCCCAAGAAGCAUUCAAUAGCUACCAUUACCAAGGUCAGUAAAUACAACAACAAUGGCCUUAAUUGACUCAAAUAAGCCUCAAUUUCAUACUAGAUGCAGUUGGCUACAGUCUUUUUUUAUGCUAAAGAAACUACCAAGUAGACACAUAUCGGCAAGGUUAUAGGAGAGGAUUUGAGAUAUGGUCCCACUCUUCAGAAUGUUCACUUUUGACUAUUAAAUGACAAAUUAAACUAUAAGUUUGUAUAAUUCUUUUCUUGGUAAUGUACUUCAAAUUUCCAAUAACUUCUAGAAGAAAAAGUUGAAAGGUUUAUUUGAGAUUAGACAAAUAAUAGUUAGGGGGGAAACAAAGUUGACAAGCCUUCUUGCUUCAUACAAGGUAACAAGAACAUAAUGUGUAAUGUAGAGUAGAACUAUAAAUGCCAUGUAUGCUUUCAACCAUAAUUGUAACCCAUGUUUUGUUUUUGUUUCUCUAAAAUCAAAAGGCGAAAUAUUCAACUCUUGUUCGAAAUACUAGGCAGACGAAAAAUGCCUGAAUAAAGGCCAUUCUUCAACCACCUCAAAAAUCAAUUGUUAAAGUUCAUUAUUAUAUUUUAUUUCGAUGUCCAUGGUAAAAUAUGUAAUAGAUUUUAUUUCAAACAUAUAAUAUGAAUUAAAUAGCAUACUGGAAAAAUAACUAUGUAUUACAUGCAUAUUAUGUUUUCAAUUAAUUCGCCCUCAGUAAUAUACAUUUCUUCCCUUGAAUUUUUGCAAUCUUUCCACAAUUUAAAUUAUUUAAAUUUAUGGGCAAUGAAAGCCAAUUACUUAAAUUUCUGGGCAAUGAAAGCCUAGUGAAAAAUAAAUGGUGUCCCCAUGCAUGAGGCCUCCUGCACUACAUGCUUUACGGAGGAGCCAAUGUACAUAACCUUUCAUUUUCUGGCAAAACUGAGCAAAGCUAGGCAAACUGAUUCACAAAAUAUUCAAAUUUAAUUCAGUUUCAAUGGAAUCCAAUCAAGAUCUAGCUUGAAUAGCAAGUCAAGAAAAGUUUAUUUAUUUCAUUGCUCCACUGGAGUGGCUUGCAACCCUAAUCAAAUACUUGUGUAUAUAUAUACAAUUUAAGCAUAUUUUUACAUCGUAUAAUAUAAUAUUCAUACAAUAAUUUAUGAAUUCAAGCUUAAACUCUAGCUCACUUAAGUUUAUUUGUGCUUUAAGUGUAGCAAACAAGUUUAGCUACAUCUUUCACACCCAAACAAUCAAAAGAAAAUAAUAAUGUGGCUCCAUUUUUGCGUCAACAGAUUGUGCUUUGAGAAAGAAAUCAGUAUCUCCUAAUGACUAAACCCACAGGAAACAAAAGAUAAACUUUAUAAUCUAAUACAUUUUCAACAUUUUGUUAUUGGAAAGUGCUGAAUAUAGAAUAUAGAUCAAGAGAAAAAUCUUCAUUUUUACAGAAUCCAAAAAGCAGGUGAACACCCAUUCAACUACCAGAUGCCAGCUAAAAGUCCUUAGGUAAUCCUCACAGUUUGUUCCCUUAUUUAUUGUCUCUAAUCAUGUAUUUAGCUAUUUCUGCAAAUCCCAAGGGCAUAAGCCAUAUGCGUUUUGCCUAAUGCACAAUAAAUAGAAAAAUAAUGAUUCUAAAGGUUAGGCGCGCGCGCGCGCGCACACAUACACAUACACACACACACAAGAAACGCGCGCACACAUACACACACACAAGACACACCUUAGUUAACACAAUAACCAGUGUUGUUAAAAGGUGUCGAAAGGCGCCAGGCGAUGAGUCAGGUGAGGCGAGACGAGCCCCUAACGACUCGCCUGGCUGAGGCAAUGCAAUUGAGAAGAGGUGAGCGCCCGAUCCCUGGAAGGCGAGAGGCACUGGGGCAUUGAGGUGACAACUCUUCAAUAAUGGAAAU
rnacentral:misc_RNA from 1 species